rnacentral:rRNA from 1 species
CGGGUGAGUACCACGUGGGCAAUCUACCUUUCGGUGAGGAAUACCGGCGAGAAAUCGCCGACAAUACCGCAUACGCUCGGGCAACCGAGCAAAGUCGCAAGACGCCGGAGGAGGAGCCUGCGCCCGAUUAGCUAGUUGGUGGAGUAAUGGUCUACCAAGGCGACGAUCGGUAGCUGGUCUGAGAGGAUGAUCAGCCACACUGGGAUUGAGAACGGCCCAG